rnacentral:tRNA from 1 species
GGUCUUGUAGUGUAGUGGUAAGCACACUGGUUUUUGAAAUGAUUUGAUUUGAAAAAUCGUUUGAAAAUUACCAGUGACCCCGGUUCGAACCCGGGCAGGACCU